rnacentral:siRNA from 1 species
UAAAACUAACCUGUCUCACGA